AGGGUUUGAUCAUGGCUCAGAACGAACGCUGGCGGCGUGGCUAAGACAUGCAAGUCGAACGGACUGCUCAAUUUAUUGGUCAGUUAGUGGCGAAAGGGUUAGGAACGGAUGGGUAACGUACCCUGUGCUUUGGGAUAGCGUCAGUUACUUCGGUAACUUUCCGAAAGGGGCGGUAAUACCAAAUAAUAUCAUUUGUCGAUAGGCGGAUGAUCAAAGAUUUAUCGGCAUAGGCGCGGCCUGUCUCCUAUCAGCUUGUUGGUGAGGUAACGGCUCACCAAGGCAGCGACGGGUAGCGGGACUGAGAGGUUGGCCCGCAACAUCGGGACUGAGACACUGCCCGGACCUCCACGGAGGGCUGCAGUAACGAAUCUUGUGCAAUGGGCAAAGCCUGACACAGCGACGCCGCGCGUAGGAGGAAGUCCUUCGGGAUGUAAACUACUGUCAGGGGGAAGAAAGUGCGCUUCGGCGCAUUGAUCUACCCCAGAGGAAGUCACGGCUAACUUCGUGCCAGCAGCCGCGGUAAGACGAAGGUGGCAAGCGUUGUUCGGUAUUACUGGGCUUAAAGCGUGUGUAGGCGGAAAAGUAAGCGUUUCGUGAAAUCCCCCGGCUUAACCGGGGAACUGCGCAACGAACUGCUUUUCUUGAGGCAAGUAGGGGCGCAUGGAACUCUUGGUGGAGCGGUGGAAUGCGUAGAUAUCAAGAGGAACGCCAGUGGAGAAGUCGGUGCGCUGGGCUUGUCCUGACGCUGAGACACGAAAGCGUGGGUAGCGAACGGGAUUAGAUACCCCGGUAGUCCACGCCGUAAACGAUGCCUACUAGGUUGUGAAAGUUCUGACACUGGCACAGCCGAAGCAAAAGUGUUAAGUAGGCCGCCUGGGGAGUA
rnacentral:rRNA from 1 species